rnacentral:ncRNA from 1 species
CCGGUAAGCUGUAAGCCACAGCGCCGGAAGCGAGUUUGCGUGGUAUGCGGUAACAUAUAUUGUGAAGUGUAAACAGCAUGGCUGUAGGGAUGACUGCCCCGCAUCGAAAGACCAUAUUCCCGUUGGACGACGCUGUUGCCUGAGCGGAAGUCAAAACACAUGCGGACGUUAUGGCGAUGGAAGUGUGU